GGUUGUCAUGCCAAUGGCACUGCCCGGUAGCUAAAUGCGGAAGAGAUAAGUGCUGAAAGCAUCUAAGCACGAAACUUGCCCCGAGAUGAGUUCUCCCUGAGACUUUAAGUCUCCUGAAGGAACGUUAAAGACGAUGACGUUGAUAGGCCGGGUGUGUAAGCGCAGCGAUGCGUUGAGCUAACCGGUACUAAUGAACCGUGAGGCUUAACCUUACAACGCCGAAG
rnacentral:rRNA from 1 species